GCUUGUUGGUGGGGUAACGGCCUACCAAGGCAUCGACGGGUAGCUGGUCUGAGAGGACGAUCAGCCGGAUUGGGACUGAGAUACGGCCCAGACUCCUACGGGGGGCAGCAAUUAGGAAUCUUGCACAAUGGGGGAAACCCUGAUGCAGCGACGUCGCGUGGAGGAUGAAAUCUUUCGGGAUGUAAACUCCUUUUAACGGGGAAGAAAAAAAUGACGGUACCCGUUGAAUAAGCCCCGGCUAACUACGUGCCAGCAGCCGCGGUAAUACGUAGGGGGCGAGCGUUGUCCGAAGUUACUGGGCGUAAAGAGCGCGUAGGCUGGUCUUUAAGUGAGUGGUGAAAGGUUCGGGCUCAACCCGGACACUGCCUUUCAUACUGGGGACCUUGAGUGUGGGAGAGGCGAGUGGAAUGGUCGGUGUAGCGGUGAAAUGCGUAGAUAUCGAUCGGAACACCCAUGGCGAAGGCAGCUCGCUGGCCUGACACUGACGCUGAGGCGCGAAAGCGUGGGGAGCAAACAGGAUUAGAUACCCUGGUAGUCCACGCCGUAAACGAUGAGUGCUAGAUGUAAGGGGUAUCGACCCCCCUUGUGUCGCAGCUAACGCAAUAAGCACCCCGCCUGGGGAGUACGG
rnacentral:rRNA from 1 species